rnacentral:rRNA from 1 species
GGGGAACAGCGGCGCUUACACAUGCAAUCGAACGAGAAAGGGGAGCAAUCCCUGAGUACAGUGGCGUACGGGUGAGUAACACGUGGGUGAUCUGCCUUUUAGUGGGGGAUAUCUCUGGGAAACCGGAGUUAAUACCGCAUAAGCUCGGAAGAGGAAAGCCGAAAGGCGCUGAGAGAGGAGCCCGCGGCCGAUUAGCUAGUUGGUGGGGUAACGGCUCACCAAGGCCGAGAUCGGUAGCCGGCCUGAGAGGGCACACGGCCACACUGGCACUGAAACACGGGCCAGACUCCUACGGGAGGCAGCAGUGGGGAAUCUUGCACAAUGGGGGCAACCCUGAUGCAGCGACGCCGCGUGAGCGAUGAAGCCCUUCGGGGUGUAAAGCUCUUUCGACGGGAACGAUAAUGACGGUACCCGGAGAAGAAGCUGCGGCUAACUACGUGCCAGCAGCCGCGGUAAUACGUAGGCAGCAAGCGUUGUUCGGAGUUACUGGGCGUAAAGAGUGCGUAGGCGGUUUCGCAAGUUUGGUGUGAAAUCUCCUGGCUUAACUGGGAGGGUGCGCCGAAAACUGCGGGGCUGGAGUGGGGGAGAGGUAAGCGGAAUUCCUGGUGUAGCGGUGAAAUGCGUAGAUAUCAGGAGGAACACCGGCGGUGUAGACGGCUUACUGGACCCUGACUGACGCUGAGGCACGAAAGCGUGGGGAGCAAACAGGAUUAGAUACCCUGGUAGUCCACGCCCUAAACGAUGCACACUUGGUGUGAGCGAUUCAUUUCGUUCGUGCCGGAGCUAACGCGUUAAGUGUGCCGCCUGGGGAGUACGGUCGCAAGGCUGAAACUCAAGGAAUUGACGGGGGCCCG